UACGGAGGUGGCGAGCGUUGUUCGGAUUCAUUGGGCGUAAAGGGCGCGUAGGCGGCUAUUCAAGUCCGAGGUGAAAGCCCUCGACUCAAUCGAGGAACUGCCCCGGAAACUGAAUAGCUUGAGUGCGGGAGGGGAGAGCGGAAUUCCCAGUGUAGCGGUGAAAUGCGUAGAUAUUGGGAAGAACACCGGCGGCGAAGGCGGCUCUCUGGACUGACACUGACGCUGAGGCGCGAAAGCCGGGGGAGCGAACAGG
rnacentral:misc_RNA from 1 species